rnacentral:rRNA from 1 species
GGAGGAAUCUUGGUCAAUGGGCGCAAGCCUGAACCAGCGACGCCGCGUGGAGGAUGAAGGCCCUCGGGUCGUAAACUCCUUUUGGGUGGGAAGAAGAUCUGACGGUACCACCCGAAUAAGCCACGGCUAACUACGUGCCAGCAGCCGCGGUAAUACGUAAGUGGCGAGCGUUAUCCGGAAUCACCGGGCGUAAAGCGUUCGUAGGCGGCGUGGUAAGUCGGAUUUGAAAUCCCGGGGCUCAACUCCGGAACUGGAUCCGAAACUACCAUGCUUGAGCGUGUCAGAGGAUAGCGGAAUUCCCGGUGUAGCGGUAAUAUGCGUAGAUAUCGGGAGGAACACCUGUGGCGAAAGCGGCUAUCUGGGGCAUUGCUGACGCUGAGGAACGAAAGCCAGGGGAGCGAA